UACGGCGGCCAUAGCGAAGGGGAAACACCCGGUCCCAUUCCGAACCCGGAAGUUAAGCUCUUCAGCGCCGAUGGUACUGCGCGGGCGACCGCGUGGGAGAGUAGGACGCCGCCGGAC
rnacentral:rRNA from 1 species